UCUGGGCGUAAGCGCACGCAGGCGGUCUGUCAAGUCGGAUGUGAAAUCCCCGGGCUCAACCUGGGAACUGCAUUCGAAACUGGCAGGCUAGAGUCUUGUAGAGGGGGGUAGAAUUCCAGGUGUAGCGGUGAAAUGCGUAGAGAUCUGGAGGAAUACCGGUGGCGAAGGCGGCCCCCUGGACAAAGACUGACGCUCAGGUGCGAAAGCGUGGGGAGCAAACAGGAUUAGAUACCCUGGUAGUCCACGCCGUAAACGAUGUCGACUUGGAGGUUGUGCCCUUGAGGCGUGGCUUCCGGAGCUAACGCGUUAAGUCGACCGCCUGGGGAGUACGGCCGCAAGGUUAAAACUCAAAUGAAUUGACGGGGGCCCGCACAAGCGGUGGAGCAUGUGGUUUAAUUCGAUGCAACGCGAAGAACCUUACCUACUCUUGACAUCCAGAGAACUUUCCAGAGAUGGAUUGGUGCCUUCGGGAACUCUGAGACAGGUGCUGCAUGGCUGUCGUCAGCUCGUGUUGUGAAAUGUUGGGUUAAGUCCCGCAACGAGCGCAACCCUUAUCCUUUGUUGCCAGC
rnacentral:rRNA from 1 species